rnacentral:rRNA from 1 species
AUUGAACGCUGGCGGCAUGCCUUACACAUGCAAGUCGAACGGCAGCACGGGUGCUUGCACCUGGUGGCGAGUGGCGAACGGGUGAGUAAUACAUCGGAACGUACCUUAUCGUGGGGGAUAACGCAGCGAAAGCUGUGCUAAUACCGCAUACGCCCUGAGGGGGAACGCGGGGGAUCGAAAGACCUCGCGCGAUUAGAGCGGCUGAUGCCUGAUUAGCCUGUUGGGGGGGUAAAAGCCCACCAAGGCGACGAUCAGUAGCUGGUCUGAGAGGACGAUCAGCCACACUGGGACUGAGACACGGCCCAGACUCCUACGGGAGGCAGCAGUGGGGAAUUUUGGACAAUGGGGGCAACCCUGAUCCAGCAAUGCCGCGUGAGUGAAGAAGGCCUUCGGGUUGUAAAGCUCUUUUGUCAGGGAAGAAACACCGGCUCUAACACAGUCCGGGAAUGACGGUACCUGAAGAAUAAGCACCGGCUAACUACGUGCCAGCCGCCGCAGUAA